rnacentral:rRNA from 1 species
UACGAAGGGGGCUAGCGUUGCUCGGAAUCACUGGGCGUAAAGCGCACGUAGGCGGCUUCUUAAGUCAGGGGUGAAAUCCUGGAGCUCAACUCCAGAACUGCCCUUGAUACUGAGGAGCUCGAGUCCGGAAGAGGUGAGUGGAACUGCGAGUGUAGAGGUGAAAUUCGUAGAUAUUCGCAAGAACACCAGUGGCGAAGGCGGCUCACUGGUCCGGUACUGACGCUGAGGCACGAAAGCGUGGGGAGCAAACAGG